GAACAUACCACUUGUUGCCUCGGCGGAUCAGCCCGCUCCCGGUAAAACGGGACGGCCCGCCAGAGGACCCCUAAACUCUGUUUCUAUAUGUAACUUCUGAGUAAAACCAUAAAUAAAUCAAAACUUUCAACAACGGAUCUCUUGGUUCUGGCAUCGAUGAAGAACGCAGCAAAAUGCGAUAAGUAAUGUGAAUUGCAGAAUUCAGUGAAUCAUCGAAUCUUUGAACGCACAUUGCGCCCGCCAGUAUUCUGGCGGGCAUGCCUGUUCGAGCGUCAUUUCAACCCUCAAGCACAGCUUGGUGUUGGGACUCGCGUUAAUUCGCGUUCCUCAAAUUGAUUGGCGGUCACGUCGAGCUUCCAUAGCGUAGUAGUAAAACCCUCGUUACUGGUAAUCGUCGCGGCCACGCCGUUAAACCCCAACUUCUGAAUGUUGACCUCGGAUCAGGUAGGAAUACCCGCUGAACUUAAGCAUAU
rnacentral:rRNA from 1 species